UGAACGCUAGCGGGAUGCCUUACACAUGCAAGUCGAACGGCAGCACGGACUUCGGUCUGGUGGCGAGUGGCGAACGGGUGAGUAAUGUAUCGGAACGUGCCCAGUAGCGGGGGAUAACUACGCGAAAGCGUAGCUAAUACCGCAUACGCCCUACGGGGGAAAGCAGGGGAUCGCAAGACCUUGCACUAUUGGAGCGGCCGAUAUCGGAUUAGCUAGUUGGUGGGGUAACGGCUCACCAAGGCGACGAUCCGUAGCUGGUUUGAGAGGACGACCAGCCACACUGGGACUGAGACACGGCCCAGACUCCUACGGGAGGCAGCAGUGGGGAAUUUUGGACAAUGGGGGAAACCCUGAUCCAGCCAUCCCGCGUGUGCGAUGAAGGCCUUCGGGUUGUAAAGCACUUUUGGCAGGAAAGAAACGUCAUGGGUUAAUACCCCGCGAAACUGACG
rnacentral:rRNA from 2 species